rnacentral:rRNA from 1 species
AGCAGCCGCGGUAAUUCCAGCUCCAAUAGCGUAUAUUAAAGUUGUUGCAGUUAAAAAGCUCGUAGUUGAAUUUCGGGAUCAGUUUGUUGGUCGUGCUUCGGUACGUACUGUCAUUACUGGUUUCUCCCUUCUGAAGAACCUUGAUGUCAUUAAUUUGGUGUCUUGGGGAAUCAGGACUGUUACUUUGAAAAAAUUAGAGUGUUUAAAGCAGGCAUACGCUUGAACACAUUAGCAUGGAAUAAUGAAAUAGGACGUUUGAUUCUAUUUUGUUGGUUUCUAGGAUCGACGUAAUGAUUAAUAGGGAUAGUUGGGGGCAUUAGUAUUCAAUUGUCAGAGGUGAAAUUCUUGGAUUUAUUGAAGACUAACUACUGCGAAAGCAUUUGCCAAGGAUGUUUUCAUUAAUCAAGAACGAAAGUUAGGGGAUCGAAGACGAUCAGAUACCGUCGUAGUCUUAACCAUAAACUAUGCCGACUAGGGAUCGGAUGAUGUUAUUUUAAUGACUCAUUCGGCGCCUUACGGA